rnacentral:rRNA from 1 species
UACGGAGGAUCCAAGCGUUAUCCGGAAUCAUUGGGUUUAAAGGGUCCGUAGGCGGUUUUAUAAGUCAGUGGUGAAAUCCGGCGGCUCAACUGUCGAACUGCCAUUGAUACUGUAGAACUUGAAUUACUGUGAAGUAACUAGAAUAUGUAGUGUAGCGGUGAAAUGCUUAGAUAUUACAUGGAAUACCAAUUGCGAAGGCAGGUUACUAACAUUAUAUUGACGCUGAUGGACGAAAGCGUGGGGAGCGAACAGG